AUAUCUCCAAAGACCCAGGGCAAGAACUUGUGGACAACCUCAGCUGGCCUGGCCUGUCCCACUCGCUUUCCAUUUCCCCCCACCCUGAGACAGGAUGCCACUGUGUAGCCCAGUGUAGUGAACACUUGGAAUACAAAAUAAAGAUGGUGGAAUGAGACAUUCCGUCUCCAGUUCCUAACAUCAGAAGUGAGCACCUGUGUGUCACCAGCAACAUAUUGGAGGCCAGCUGCCUACACCAAUCAGAAACAGGGACCACAAAGUCUGCAGGGGUGAGAUAGGCCUUUUCAGUGUCUACGAUUUCAUCAUGGACAUUACUGUCGAUUUCUCUUCCUGCCCCUGUAUGUGCGGGUCUAUCGCCAUCUCGCCAUCUCCGGCUCCUGUGUUAUGAAGACAGUCUCAUGCAGCCCAGACCAAUCUCAAAUUGACUAGGUAAACUGAGGCUGGCCUUGAACCAGUCCCUCCUGCCUCUAUCUCCUGAGAGCUGGGUAACAGCUUCUGGAGCCUCACCCAGCUUCGCUUUCACCACCCCAGCCAAUCCUGUGACUCCUCUUCAUAGCGAGAGCAUUGACACUUAUGUUCUGAGUGUGAAAAAAAAAAAAAUCACAUAGUACUUCCUACUAGAACCUUGCCCGGGUCAACUGAAGUGUGUGUGUUUGCUUACCAGUCUGCAGGUUUGCUUAAGUUUGUUUAUUUUAGAGACCAGGUCUUGCUCUGUUGCCUAAGCCAACUUGAAACUCUUGGGCUCCAACAGUUCUCCUGCUCCAUCUUUCUAGAGCAGCUGGGACUCUAGGCAUGCUCCACUACAGCUGACUGAAGCUUGAAUGAAUGAAUGAAUGAAUGAAUGAAUGAAUGAGUUACUACCUCUGAGGGACCCUCCUCAUGGCCUUCUCAACUCUGUACUUUAAUUAGUUGCUUAGAGGUGUCUCCAUGCCUCAGUUUCCCCAUCUGUAAUAGUAAACGAGUUCACAGGCGUGGUCUGUGCUUGGAGCAAGAACAAAACCAUCCUGGCCUAUACUCUCUAGGGACUCUACAGAGCCCAUCCCUUUGGCUAUCAGACUGUUGAGAUAAAGGUUCCCCCAGGAAUCGGAAUCCCCUCCGACAGGAGUCUCAUGCUCAGAGAAGAAAAAAAGCUGAAGCCUGCUGACAGCCAGAGAGGGUACUUGUCUGUCAGAGAAAAAUUCUACACAGGACAGACUGGAGCCCAGACUGGUCUGGGUCAGUGACACACGGCACAGCACACGGUGGGACAACCUGGCUGUGCAUCUCUCUCAAACCUCAACCUCAGUCUGAAGAUGGAUUGGGGGGGGGGGGUAGCGAGGAAGGUCACUGGGGCCCUGCCUCUGAUAAGAAGAACGAGCAAUUAUGAUUUCCAGGAACCGAGGGUGCUCUUGCUGUUCAGUGUCUCCAGCACCCCCGGAGACCCCAGGGCUGCCGUCAAGGGUGUUCAAUAAACACGUAUCGAUUGAGCCAACAAUGCCAGAAUUGGACCUGCAGAGGAGAAAAUGGACAAACAAGACAGUGAGCCUGCAGGUGAGACCAGAACUGGAGCCAACAAUCUACCUCUCUCUCCCAACCCUAGCAACUCCAGCAGCUCUCUGGGCGAGGGGCACAGUUGCUUCCAGUUGGCAGAACCAGUCUCCCAGCUUCCCUUCAGAACCCAGCACCUGCUGAGCCACCGACCCACGGACUGUCUCUCUCUGGAAGGCAGCCACCGACCCACGGACUGUCUCUCUCUGGAAGGCAGUUCACCUCUGGGUUUCAACACUGCCCUUUCCCCUUUCCUUCUUUUGCCCUUAGGAAUCCCUGAAAGCUUCCUGUGCUUGUGGCUUCUGUGACUUCUCAACAUCUCUUGUACACACACACACACACACACACACACACACCAGCCUGUGUCUAAGCAGUUCAUCCUGUACAAUGUCUCUCUGAUAAAAUAACUGAUUCCGUUUCUGUCACCUGCUGAGGCUCCAGCAGCUCUGCCCUCAGACCUCUUAAAGCUGAGGCUCAGAAGCACAGGGAGGCACGGGAACCUGGUCCCAGGCCCUGGCUUGCUGGAGCGAAGGAAUCUAUUGCUUCGGCCACUCGGUCAGAAUCCCUCGGAGAUUGAUGUGAUAUGCACAGUGACACCCAAUCGGGCUUGGAAAACUGGGCCAACAGUUAAGCCACACAAAGGAACUAACCACAGCUCCACUGGCAACUGGCUCCUUGGCAAGUGCCAAAACAAACAGCUGUGGUGCAGGCCUUCCCCGGGCUGCCGGCUUCCUGGACACUGGCAGAGGCCGCUCAAGAAGGGGGUACCUGAGUAGGGUGUUGUUCAGUUGGUAGAACGUUUGCUUGCCUUCCAUGAAGCCCAGGGUUCUGUCUGCACCUCAUACCUGUGAUCCUAGCAGUUGGGAAAAGACAGCAAGCACCCGGAUCAGAAGUUCAAGACCACCCUCCCCUUUAUAAAGGGAUCUGAGGCAGCCUGGGACAUCUGAAUGACAAAUGAAAAGAGCCGUGAGCUAUCUGGUGUUUUCUUCAUGGAAGUCCAAGUCUCCCCCUCAUUCCUCCCAGGAUUCUCCGAAUCUGGCUGUUGUCUUUUGCGAUAUUUUAGAAUAUUCUAGCCAGAGCGCAGAGUAUAAAAUACAAGUCAAAGGCAAUGAGCAUAUGUUAGAUGGAUGGAGGAGGGCCUAAAAAUGCUGGUGCUGGGGAGGAAAAAUGGCUCAGCAGUUAAGAGCACCGGCUGCUUUUACAGAGGACCUGCCUUCAGUUCACAGCAACCGCAUGACGGCAACUCUGGUUCCAGGAAAUCCAAUGCCCUCUUCCGACCUCUAUAGGCACCCGGCAAGCACACAGUGCACAGACAAUCAUACACACGUGU
ensembl:lincRNA Trp53cor1 tumor protein p53 pathway corepressor 1